GACGAACGCUGGCGGCGUGCUUAACACAUGCAAGUCGAACGGAAAGGCCCUGCUUUUGUGGGGUGCUCGAGUGGCGAACGGGUGAGUAACACGUGAGUAACCUGCCCUUGACUUUGGGUUAACUUCAGGAAACUGGGGCUAAUAUCGGAUAGGAUCCCCUGCUGCAUGGUGGGGGUUGGAAAGUUUCGGCGGUUGGGGAUGGACUCGCGGCUGAUCAGCUUGCUGGUGGGGUAGGGGAUUACCAAGGCUUUGACGGGUAGCCGGCCUGAGUGGGUGACCGGCCACAAUGGGACUAAGAUACGGCCCAGUGUCCUACGUUAGGCAGCAGGGGCGAAUCUUACACAGUGGUAGGAAGUCUGAUAAAGCAACGUCGCGGGCGGGAUGACGGCCUUUGGGGUAAAAACCGCUUUCGCCUGUGACGAAGCGUGAGUGACGGUACUGGGUAAAGAAGCACCGGCUAACUACGUG
rnacentral:rRNA from 1 species